CUCAGUCUCUCGAUUCUCUUCCAUCAUGUCUGAAAUUCGAAGAUUUCUGAGAUCUCAAAUCCCAAAUCAAACUAAACUAUUUAUUUUUCGCCUUAGGGUUUUGAGGUUUGCAUAUAAAAGUUGUUUUAGGGUUCAGUCUCUUCUCUAGUCUCCAAAAACUCUCAAGACCAGCAGCACAAAGAAGAAGAAAUGACCUAAAUUUCUCAUUUCCUUGGUUUUUGAUUUGAGAGAUCGUGAAGAGGAACAAUACUUUCCUCGUCAAAGAGUUUGGAAAUGGAAAUCAGAUGGUUCAGUUCAGUAAAGAACCUAACAAUCUCUACAACGUUAACUCCUUCAAACACUCUGGUUAGCAAAUGCAAAGACUGUUUCAGUCAAGCUGGAAAAGAUUGAAGGUGUUGUUCUUGCUACUACUAAUCCUAACAAACAAAAGAACCCUUCAAGUUUGGUGGGGAAAACUAUCAUGAAGAAGAAAAUCAGUAGAAUGGCUAAGGUUGUUGCCAAACUACCUCAUCUCUCCAAUUUGGCGUACAAACAAGUGGCUCUGCCUGACGUUGAAGUCGGUUCAUACGUCUUGGUCAGAGUUGGCCGCAGAGAUUGAGAGGCGUACCGAGAAUCAUAAUUAGAAACUACUACUGCUUGGGGAUGGAGAGUCACGGAAGUCUACAACCUUUAAGCAGGUAGAAAACCAAAAGUUUUCUUAUAAUUGAAAAUCAAACAACAUAUUUUGCAUUCAGUCUUGUGAUAUAGGAAGGUAUGAAGUAGGCUACAGGGGAAUGGGGGUGUAAUUGCAUUUCCGGAGCGCCAAGAUUCCAUGUAUAGGAUGGGGGAGGGAAAGGUUGUUCCCAUCUUGGUAAUUGAAGGAUGGAACUUAAUUAAUACUUUCCAUUUACAAGAGAUUGCUGAGCUCCGGGGAAUCCCUUCUUACUGGAUGGACAGCGAGUAGAGAAUAGGACCAGGAAAUACAAUAAGCUUUAAGUUGCUUAAUGUACCUGUUGUUGUACUGCUCAGAUUUCUUCGAGAGCAUCGAUCUGAAUAGGCAGAUAGUGCCUGAUGAGCCCACUGUUGAAGACAAAUAGGAUGAUAACGAGGACAACGAUGAUGAGCAUGAUGAUGUUGAAGGUAAUUGAACACCAUCGAAAUAAGAUUUUUUUUUUUUUUUUUGUGACGUCACUAAUAUUUGUUUUAUCGUGUGAAUCUAAUAUUUGUGGAUGUUGCCCUUUAUGAUUUUAAUCAUUCCUUAAAAUGUCAUUGUAAUUUGAUCCAUUGGCAGUAUCACAUUACAUGAAUU